rnacentral:rRNA from 1 species
AAUGGGCGCAAGCCCGAUCCAGCCAUGCCGCGUGAGUGAUGAAGGCCCUAGGGUCGUAAAGCUCUUUCGCCUGUGAAGAUAAUGACGGUAGCAGGUAAAGAAACCCCGGCUAACUCCGUGCCAGCAGCCGCGGUAAUACGGAGGGGGUUAGCGUUGUUCGGAAUUACUGGGCGUAAAGCGCGCGUAGGCGGAUUAGUCAGUCAGAGGUGAAAUCCCAGGGCUCAACCCUGGAACUGCCUUUGAUACUGCUAGUCUUGAGUUCGAGAGAGGUAGGUGGAAUUCCGAGUGUAGAGGUGAAAUUCGUAGAUAUUCGGAGGAACACCAGUGGCGAAGGCGGCUUACUGGCUCGAUACUGACGCUGAGGUGCGAAAGUGUGGGGAGCUAACUGGAUU